CUCCAGUACUGUGUACAAUACUCAAAGUGAGGUCUCACCAGUGUUCUGUACAGUUGCAUGAGCACUUCCCUCUUUCUACUGCUAAUACCUCUCCCUAUACAACCAAGCAUUCUGCUAGCAUUUCCUGUUGCUCUAUUACAUUGUCUGCCUACCUUUAAGUCAUCAGAAAUAAUCACCCCUAAAUCCUUUUCCCUUUAGAUAUUGAGGUUAGGACGCUAUCAAAUAUUCUGUACUCUGCCCUUGGGUUUUUACGUUCCAGAAUGCAGUAUCUUGUAUUUAU